GAUGAACGCUGGCGGCGUGCUUAACACAUGCAAGUCGAACGGAGAGGCCUCUGCUUGCAGGGGUACUCGAGUGGCGAACGGGUGAGUAACACGUGGGUGAUCUGCCCUGCACUUCGGGAUAAGCCUGGGAAACUGGGUCUAAUACCGGAUAGGACAAUGGUUUGGAUGCCGUUGUGGAAAGUUUUUCGGUGUGGGAUGAGCUCGCGGCCUAUCAGCUUGUUGGUGGGGUAAUGGCCUACCAAGGCGUCGACGGGUAGCCGGCCUGAGAGGGUGUACGGCCACAUUGGGACUGAGAUACGGCCCAGACUCCUACGGGAGGCAGGAGUGGGGAAUAUUGCACAAUGGGCGCAAGCCUGAUGCAGCGACGCCGCGUGGGGGAUGACGGCCUUCGGGUUGUAAACUCCUUUCGCUAGGGACGAAGCGCAAGUGACGGUACCUGGAGAAGAAGCACCGGCUAACUACGUG
rnacentral:rRNA from 1 species